rnacentral:rRNA from 1 species
GAUGAACGCUAGCGGCAGGCCUAAUACAUGCAAGUCGAGGGAGAAUGUUGGAUUCGUCUGACAUGAAACCGGCGCACGGGCGCGUAACACGUAUGCAACCUACCUUUAACUGGGGUAUAGCUCAGAGAAAUCUGAAUUAAUCCCCCAUAAGACUACGACAUGGCAUCAUGAUGUAGUUAAAGCUCCGGCGGUUAAGGAUGGGCAUGCGGUACAUUAGCUAGUUGGUGAGGUAAUGGCUCACCAAGGCUACGAUGUAUAGGGGGUCUGAGAGGAUGAUCCCCCACCCUGGUACUGAGACACGGACCAGACUCCUACGGGAGGCAGCAGUAGGGAAUAUUGGUCAAUGGACGCAAGUCUGAACCAGCCAUGCCGCGUGAAGGAUGAAGGCCCUAUGGGUCGUAAACUUCUUUUAUUAGGGAAGAAAAAACGGGAUGCGUCCUGUACUGACGGUACUUAAUGAAUAAGGAUCGGCUAACUUCGUGCCAGCCGCCGCAGUAA